rnacentral:rRNA from 1 species
UACGUAGGGUGCAAGCGUUGUCCGGAAUUAUUGGGCGUAAAGAGCUCGUAGGCGGUCUGUCACGUCGGCUGUGAAAACCCGGGGCUCAACCCCGGGCCUGCAGUCGAUACGGGCAGGCUCGAGUUCGGUAGGGGAGACUGGAAUUCCUGGUGUAGCGGUGAAAUGCGUAGAGAUCGGGAGGAACACCAAUAGCGAAGGCAGCUCGCUGGGACGUUACUGACACUGAGGCGCGAAAGCGUGGGGAGCGAACAGG